rnacentral:tRNA from 1 species
AGAGUUCUAGUUAAUCGUAUAACAUAUGCUUGUCAAGCAUAAAUAGCUUAUUCAGCGAAUUCUG